AAGGGUAAGAUCGUGACCACUCACUAAAUGCUGAACUCUUGAUAGAUUAGGAAGCUCUGCUAUCUGUGGGAUGAGGCACAGCAGAUGAUGUGGUUUGGCUGUGUUCCCACCCAAAUCUCAUCUUGAAUUCCCACAUGUUGUGGGAGGGACCUGGUGGGAGAUAAUUGAAUCAUGAGGGCAGGUCUUUCCCAUGCUGUUCUCGUGAUAGUGAAUAAGUCUUAUGAGAUCUGAUGGUUUUAAAAACAGGAGUUUCCCUGCACAAGCCGUCUCUGUGCCUGCUGCCAUCCAUGUAAGAUGUGACUUGCUCCUCCUUGCCUUCCGCCAUGAUUGUGAGGCCUCCCAAGCCAUGUGGAACUAAACUGUGGUGAAAUGAGCAGAAUUGCCUGGAAGCUGCUCUGGAAGCUCAUUCAAGGUUACCUGGGCCAGCCAGCUGGAACUGCAACAGAACAUGGACCUAUCCUGCAGAUCCAGCCGAGACCCUGACCUUCACAUACUUCUCUAUGGGACAGAGAAUAGAAUGGGAGACUCCUGCUUCCCCUUAGCUUGUUGACCCAGCCUUGUAAGAUUUCACUUUCCCUAAUAAAACCCAAU